CAGUUCGGAUUGCAGUCUGCAACUCGAGUGCAUGAAGCUGGAAUCGCUAGUAAUCGCGGAUCAGAAUGCCGCGGUGAAUACGUUCCCGGGUCUUGUACACACCGCCCGUCACACCAUGGGAGUCGGGAAUGCCCGAAGCCGGUGGCCCGAUCGAAAGAAGGGAGCCGUCGAAGGCAGGCCGGAUGACUGGGGUGAAGUCGUAACAAGGUACC
rnacentral:rRNA from 1 species